UAUAACCUUCCGUAGGUGAACCUGCGGAAGGAUCAUUAAAUAAUCAAUAAUUUUGGCUUGUCCAUUAUUAUCUAUUUCUUCCGUAGGGUGAACAUGCGGAGGGAUCAUUACCGAGUUAUACAACUCAUCAACCCUGUGAACAUACCUAAAACGUUGUUUUGGCGGGAACAGACGGCCCUGUAACAACGGGCCGCCCCCGCCAGAGGACCCCUAACUCUGUUUUUAUAAUGUUUUUCUGAGUAAACAAGCAAAUAAAUUAAAACUUUCAACAACGGAUCUCUUGGUUCUGGCAUCGAUGAAGAACGCAGCGAAAUGCGAUAAGUAAUGUGAAUUGCAGAAUUCAGUGAAUCAUCGAAUCUUUGAACGCACAUUGCGCCCGCCAGUAUUCUGGCGGGCAUGCCUGUUCGAGCGUCAUUACAACCCUCAGGCCCCCGGGCCUGGCGUUGGGGAUCGGCGGAAGCCCCCUGUGGGCACACGCCGUCCCUCAAAUACAGUGGCGGUCCCGCCGCAGCUUCCAUUGCGUAGUAGCUAACACCUCGCAACUGGAGAGCGGCGCGGCCAUGCCGUAAAACACCCAACUUCUGAAUGUGACCUCGAAUCAGGUAGAAAACCCACUCCC
rnacentral:rRNA from 1 species